rnacentral:rRNA from 1 species
AACGAACGCUGGCGGCAUGCCUAACACAUGCAAGUCGAACGAGACCUUCGGGCCUAGUGGCGCACGGGUGCGUACCGAGUGGGAACUUGCCCUUAGGUUAGGAAUAACUCCCCGAAAGGGGUGUUAAUACCGGUUAAUGUCAUCGGACCAAAGAUUUUUCGCUUUUGGGUGGGCGCGCGUUGGAUUAGCUGGUUGGUAGGGUAAAAGCAUACCAAGGCGACGAUCCAUAGCUGGUCUGAGAGGAGGACCAGCCACACUGGGACUGCGGCACGGACCAGACUCCUACGGAGGGGAGGAGAAGGGAACAUUAUGCGAGGAACGAAAGUGUAACCCAGCAGCGCCGGGUAUGAGAUGAAUGGCUUAGGAUUGUAAAGCUGUCUUUGACGGGAUGAGAAUGACGGUACCGGGAAAAGAAGCACCGGCUAACUCCGUG